AUGUAACACCCUGCUGCGGAUUCAAGGGAACCCGGUGCGAUUCCGGGACGGGGACGCCGCUGUGAACGGGGACAGGCGGUCGCCGACCACCACUGCUGUUAGACGCGGGAAGGUGAGGCCGUCUGGGAGAUCCGUGAGUCAGAAGACCUAUCCGCGGUUACAGGACUGCA
rnacentral:ncRNA from 1 species